GUUACUUCCCUCUCUGCUCCCUGCCAUGUGAGGACACAGAGAAGUUAGCAGUCUGCAGCCCAGAAGAGGACACUCACCAGAACCCAACCACGCUGGCACCCUGAUCUCAGACUUCCAGCCUCCGGAAUCGUUUCUGACCCUUGAGCCUAAAAGACUACGGCAUACUACAGGGCAUAUGCCAAGAUGAGAGCAAAAUGGAAAACAGAAAGCAGAUGAGGUGGAUGCAGUUUCAAAUGUGGCUGUGCGCUUCUGGGUAAACAAAGUGAAAAGGGAAAUUCGGUCAACUACAUUGUUCUCAUUAAGCAUGAAGUGAGAAUGCUCAAGUUCCUUAGGACCAGCAAAGCUUUUUUCUAGCACUUAUUUCUCAAAGCACAAUAGGCAUUAUACAAGGAACUACUGGGAGAUAUGGAGGAUGCUGUCUUCAUUAACUGACACUUUGCAGCGAAUUCAAUAAUGGGAUGUAUAAGGCUGCUGUUCAGAGCAUCUGUUAUGAACACUGAGGGACUCAUGCUUCCAUGGUUGGUCAACUUGAUUCUGUGCAGUUGGAAGAAAGGCAAUGUGGUCUGAGUAUGCCAGCAUCCAGAGGCUCUCUGCAAGUGUCAGUGUUCCAGGAACUGGUCCCCAAACAUUUUAGCCACAACUGACUCUCAGCCCAUUUCUGCCCUUUCCCUCUCAGUGCAAGCUCAUUUGUACCAACUUCUGAAGGUUCCACUCUCCCGUCCCGAGGAGGGAAAUACAAGAGAAUUGAAACCUCCUGCCCUUCAUCCCUGAGAAGGGUUGCACAGAGGUGCCUGCAGAUGUCAAGAACUGUCCUCCACAGCAUCCCUGUUCUUUACCUCCUGUCUCCAUGAUUAAUUCAAGCUGUUGGGAUCUCACAUUACCAUCAGGCUGUCACUGCACUGAGGGUCCCAAAUGGCUCCAGCCCAAGCAACAAAUUAAUCCAGGCUGCUGAGCUUCUGGAAGAUGAAGAACUGACCCAUCGGAAAAUAUACAGAUUGGAACAAGCAUAGCUUUAUUCUUCCCCUUCUCGGGAUGGACCCCAACACCUAACCAAGGCU